UUAAAUACCAGUUCCCAUAUGAUCACUGAAGUUAAGCAACAUUGAGUCUGAUCAGUACCUAGAUGGGUAGCCACUUGGGAAUACCAGGUGCUGUAAG
rnacentral:rRNA from 1 species